rnacentral:rRNA from 1 species
AACGGCCGCGGUACCCUAACCGUGCGAAGGUAGCGCAAUCACUUGUUCUUUAAAUGAGGACUAGUAUGAAUGGCAUCACGAGGGUUAUACUGUCUCCCCCUUUUAAUCAGUGAAACUGAUCUUCCCGUGAAGAAGCGGGAAUAAGCCUAUAAGACGAGAAGACCCCAUGGAGCUUAAAACUCAGUACCAACUGCCUUACCACAUACCCCUUAAACCAGGCAGAAGUGAUUACUAGUUUUCGGUUGGGGUGACCGCGGAGCAAAAUAAAACCUCCACGAUGAAAGGAACUAACCUCCUAAUCAAAGAACCACACUUCUAAGAAUCAACAGAUUGACAUUUAUUGAUCCAAUUUUUUUGAUCAACGAACCAAGUUACCCUGGG